UUCCCAUUUCUUACAUUCACUCUCAGCCCUGCAGCCUUAUAAAUGGUAAUUGGUGUCCACGCUGGGGCUGUGAAAGGCAUCUUGGCUGCUCACGGGCUUUCCGCACCUCCUCCCUAAGUCUCCUGUCUCCACCAUCUUAAGCCACUCCAACCCGGUUGAUCUGUUCUCUGCCCUUCUCCCCUAACUGCAGGUCAUUAAGAAAAGCCUUCUGCACAGAGAUCGUGCAGAUUGUGUCAGCAAGUGCCAAGUGUCUGCUUUGCUUCACAGGGGCGGCUCAGGGGAAAUGCCUUCAUUCCAGCUUAGGAGUGAGCUGCAAUCCUUCUUGCUCCUCUGCUGACCAAGGGAGGGUUCCCAGAGCAGAGCUGACUAGGGACUAGCAGUGACUGCUUUGUUUAAUUUGCCUGUCUUUACUGGUGAAAACCAGGAAUCUACCCUUCCUCAGCCAGUCAGAGUUCCCAGGCGGGAAUGUUGCAUCCAGCCUUCACUCUGGGGUCUUCUUUAUGGGGCCUCUGUGUGAGGAUCUCACCACUGCCGUGAGCUAUAGAGAGUGUUGCUGCUUUCUCUCAGAGUGUACGUUGUAUUUCCUGGGAUCGUUUGCUUUACAAUUAACCGUCAGUGGAUGCUUUUGGGUGCGGUAAGCAUAGAGAAUAAUGACCACACAAAUCCAAGUCACAGCACACCUGUAAGAAGCUGUGAGGAGAGUUGGGUACACAUAACUGGACCUUAUCUGAGAGAUGGGGGACAUGGAGGCUCCAGCCUGAGCAUUUACCACCAGAGCUGAAGGGGAGAUUUAUAAUGAGCCAGACCCAGAUCCAGGAUUGUUUUCAUGUCGAGAUGCGGGAUUUCUCUGCUGAAGCGUGCAAAGCCAGACAUCAAAAGCUUGUUCCAAAGGAGCCAUUGUGGCAUUAAUUUUAUAAACUGCGAGGAGCCAAAGGCCUGUAAAGGUUCACUUAUCAGAAGCCAAAAUGCUAUUUUUGCCAGGUUUUCUUCUCUUACUGCCCUGCUAUUGCAUAUUGUCUUGCAAACAAUCAGGAAGACCAUGAAGCUUCGUCUACACGAGUGAAGACAAGAGAGAAUUCUGGGAGACAGACCUCCACGCUCUAAAUGGUCUCAGUUCAUCCCGGUUCCAACAAAAGCAUUCAUCUGUGAGACUCCUCCCUGCGGACACUUGGCUGUACCAGUAAGCUUCUCACGAUGCCUCUUAGAGAGACCAAACAGUUCCUGAAUGAAGGUGGAGCCAUGGCUCCUGGGGAAUCUGCCCUUCCGGUCGUUCCACCGGGAAUGGGAAGAGAAGAGUGUGCCUUUGAGCCUGGAAGCACAGCAGUAGUGACUCCCAUUGACCAGCCUUGUCUCUGAGAAAGCAGCCAGCGAGUGAUUGAGAUGGAGGCAGGAGUGAGAAGAGUUCUUAGUCCCGGGUUCUGUUCCUAGACAGCACAGAGGCCCACACUUGCCCUUGUUCUGUUGGAAACAGCAGGGGUUUCAAUGUCUAAAUUCCAAAAGCUCUAUCUGGCCUCCUGCAGAGAAGGAAGCUGCUCCUUAGGCACCUGGGUCUGCAAGGUCCUUUGCUUAGGGUUUUCUGCAGGAACCCAGCUACCACCUCAUGUGCUUUAGGGGCAGGCUGCAAGCCUCCUGGUGUUGAAGCAAUGCCAUCUGGGAAGUUAGCAGAGAUUGUCUCCAAUAGCUUAUUCCUCCAAGCCUUCCAGUCAAUUCACCUAAGGAAGUGGGGGACCUUCUUGCCCAUGGAGGACAAAGGUAGGAAGGAGUCUGUUUGUUCUGUGCUUGGACAAGUCAGGCUGAGACAAUGGGGAAACUCACAGCUGAGAACUAGCCCAGGUUGCUUAAACUGUACUUACACCACCCCGUGAGCAAAGCACAUGAGCACUUUCUCACUGGCAGGCUCCCACUGGGCUCUCUGCAGUUCCCCUCUCAGUGGAGAGUCACUCAGAUGGGGCUCUGUGUAUCUGCUGCAUUCUUCUUGAGACAUCAGUCUUGUGGCCUGGGUGGUCUCCUCUCUGCCCCUGAGCUCAGGUCAGCUUCACUAGAAGCUGGUGUGCGCACACUCACACCAAACUGAGACUUCCACUCCUUGGCACCCUUCACCUCCUGAGGGAGCUCUGUGGCCUUGCCCACCACUGAAGCACCAUCUCAGAGGUGCCAAGCAUGCCCUUGGAUGCUCACAGCCUUUUUCUGCCACUGAUGUCUUUUGGGUUUCACCCACCCUGCCGCGUCAGCCUUUAAAACCUGUUUAUGCCAGCUGAGCUUGUCACUGGAACUGUGUAAUGUAAUUAGGUUUGGCGUAACUUUGUGAAACAUGAGCCUGAAAAAAAAAUGAGGCUUGUUUCUAAGAAAAUGAAGUCGAGUCUUGGGAUGACUGAGUCAAGACCAGUCAUCAAGUGGGACUGCUGUCAAGUUAGGUGUGGCUGAGGAAAAAGUAAAACAAGGAGAAAAAUAAAAGAAAGCUGAAGCGAUUUUGCAGAAAAUGAGU